CUACGGGAGGCUGCAGUGAGGAAUAUUGCACAAUGGGGGGAACCCUGAUGCAGCAACGCCGCGUGGAGGAUGACGCAUUCGGUGUGUAAACUCCUUUUAUAUGUCAAGAAAAUGACGGUAGCAUAUGAAUAAGCACCGGCUAACUCCGUGCCAGCAGCCGCGGUAAUACGGAGGGUGCAAGCGUUACUCGGAAUCACUGGGCGUAAAGGACGCGUAGGCGGGUUGGAAAGUCAGGUGUGAAAUCCUACAGCUUAACUGUAGAACUGCACUUGAAACUUCUAAUCUAGAGUAUGGGAGGGGGAGAUGGAAUUAGCGGUGUAGGGGUAAAAUCCGUAGAUAUCACUAGGAAUACCUAAAGCGAAGGCGAUCUCCUGGAACAUUACUGACGCUAAGGCGUGAAAGCGUGGGGAGCAAACAGGAUUAGAUACCCGCGUAGUC
rnacentral:rRNA from 1 species